CGAUUCUUAGCGAAUAGGCAAAGCUGGCGGCGUGCCUAAUCAUGCAAGUCGAGCGCGGGAGCAGGCAGAUCCUCUUCGGAGGUGACGCCUGUGGAACGAGCGGCGGACGGGUGAGUAACACGUGGGCAACCUGCCUGUAAGAUUGGGAUAACCCCGGGAAACCGGGGCUAAUACCGGAUAAUACUUUUCGUUGCAUAACGAGAAGUUGAAAGGCGGCUUUUAGCUGUCACUUACAGAUGGGCCCGCGGCGCAUUAGCUAGUUGGUAAGGUAACGGCUUACCAAGGCGACGAUGCGUAGCCGACCUGAGAGGGUGAUCGGCCACACUGGGACUGAGACACGGCCCAGACUCCUACGGGAGGCAGCAGUAGGGAAUCUUCCGCAAUGGACGAAAGUCUGACGGAGCAAC
rnacentral:rRNA from 1 species